rnacentral:rRNA from 1 species
GAGCUCCCAUGGCGCCUGUUUAUCAAAAACAUGGUUUUUUGGAAUGAUAAAAAAUCUGACCUGCUCCAUGCUUGUGUAAAUAGCCGCAGUAUUAUGACUGUGCUAAGGUAGCAUAAUCAUUUGUCUUUUAAAUGAAGUCUAGGAUGAAGGGUUGAUCGAAGAGUAAGCUGUCUUUUUAUUAAAGGAUGAAUUUAAUUAUUUAGUAAUAAGGCUAAUAUUUAUUUGGGGGACGAUAAGACCCUAUUAAACUUAAUUUAAUAAUUUUACUGGGGCGGUAGUAUAAGAGUAAGAUCUUAUUUAGAUGGAUUGAUAUAUGUUGACCCAAAAUUAUUGAGGGCAAGAUAAAGUUACUAUAGGGAUAACAGCUUAAUUUUUUCUUGAAGCUCUUAUUUUAGAAAAAGUUUGAGACCUCGAUGUUGAAUUAAAGUAUCUUUUUAGUGAAGUAGCUAUAUUAAGAAAGUCUGUUCGACUUUUAAAUCUUUACGUGAUCUGAGUUCAGACCGGCCAUGGGAGCUC